rnacentral:misc_RNA from 1 species
UGACGCACAAGACCCAGAAUGGAGCCGGACUUGCGCCAUUUGCAGGUUGUUCGCCCAAUCGACCAAAUGGCGACGGCGUCAACGAGCGGUGAUACUCAUGACCUAUCGGCUUUUAUAAAACGUACAAGUUUAUCUUGGACCAGUGCCUGGAAUCUGACCAGAAGCAGGUGGACCGUGCUUGGCCUGGCUUCGUGGCGACUAUUCUGUUCCGCAGGCAAGCGCGCGCCGAAGAGCUUUCGAAAUUGGUGCUGCAAUCGGUCUGCCGUCGCUUACUUUCUCCGACAAACAGAC